rnacentral:rRNA from 1 species
AGUCGUAACAAGGCUUCUGUAGGUGAACCUGCAGAAGGAUCAUUAGUGAAGAUUUGGGCAGGCCAUACGGACGCCAAAAAGUGUCCCUGGCCGCCUACACCCACUAUACAUCCACAAACCCGUGUGCACUGUCUUGGAGAAAGGCUUCAGAGAAGUUUUUUGUGGCCUCUCUUGGGGUCUUUCUUCGCUACAAACUCGAAUGGUUAGUAUGAACGUGGAACUUGGUUGGACCGUCACUGGCCAACAAACUAUACACAACUUUCGACAACGGAUCUCUUGGUUCUCCCAUCGAUGAAGAACGCAGCGAAACGCGAUAGGUAAUGUGAAUUGCAGAAUUCCGUGAAUCAUCGAAUCUUUGAACGCACCUUGCGCUCUAUGGCAAUCCGUAGAGCAUGCCUGUUUGAGUGCCAUGAAAUCUCCCACCCCAAGCAGUUUUUAAAUGAAACGGCUUGGCGGAUGGGGUCUGGAUGGGUGCCUCUGCCUGCGCUACCUAGCACAGGCUCGCCCGAAAUGCAUGAGCGCCUUGAGACACUUUGCAUCCGCCUCUCUGUUUGGGAGGAGGCGGCCAAGCAGUGUUUUUCUCCUGGCAUGGCAUGAUACGUCAUUUGCUAUGUCGCCUAAAGGAGGAAUGUUUGGUUGUGUCUGCGUGUGCUUCGAACUUGCCUCUGUGGCACAUCCCAAUUUCACUUCUGGUCUCAAAUCAGGUAGGAUCACCCGCUGAACUUAAGCAUAUCAAUAAGUCG